rnacentral:rRNA from 1 species
UACGUAGGGUGCGAGCGUUGUCCGGAAUUACUGGGCGUAAAGAGCUCGUAGGCGGUUUGUCGCGUUUUUCGUGAAAACUCACAACUCAAUUGUGGGCGUGCGGGCGAUACGGGCAGACUGGAGUACUGCAGGGGAGACUGGAAUUCCUGGUGUAGCGGUGGAAUGCGCAGAUAUCAGGAGGAACACCGGUGGCGAAGGCGGGUCUCUGGGCAGUAACUGACGCUGAGGAGCGAAAGCGUGGGGAGCGAACAGG